GCACUCGCUUCAGAAGCACAUAUACUAAAAUUAGAAUGAUACAGAGAAGAUUAGCAUGACCCUUGGCAAGGAAGACACGCAAAUUCAUGAAGCAUUCCAUAUUUUU
ensembl:snRNA U6 U6 spliceosomal RNA